rnacentral:rRNA from 1 species
UUGAGCGGGGGACAACAUUUGGAAACGAAUGCUAAUACCGCAUAACAACUUUAAACACAAGUUUUAAGUUUGAAAGAUGCAAUUGCAUCACUCAAAGAUGAUCCCGCGUUGUAUUAGCUAGUUGGUGAGGUAAAGGCUCACCAAGGCGAUGAUACAUAGCCGACCUGAGAGGGUGAUCGGCCACAUUGGGACUGAGACACGGCCCAAACUCCUACGGGAGGCAGCAGUAGGGAAUCUUCGGCAAUGGACGAAAGUCUGACCGAGCAACGCCGCGUGAGUGAAGAAGGUUUUCGGAUCGUAAAACUCUGUUGGUAGAGAAGAACGUUGGUGAGAGUGGAAAGCUCAUCAAGUGACGGUAACUACCCAGAAAGGGACGGCUAACUACGUGCCAGCAGCCGCGGUAAUACGUAGGUCCCGAGCGUUGUCCGGAUUUAUUGGGCGUAAAGCGAGCGCAGGUGGUUUAUUAAGUCUGGUGUAAAAGGCAGUGGCUCAACCAUUGUAUGCAUUGGAAACUGGUAGACUUGAGUGCAGGAGAGGAGAGUGGAAUUCCAUGUGUAGCGGUGAAAUGCGUAGAUAUAUGGAGGAACACCGGUGGCGAAAGCGGCUCUCUGGCCUGUAACUGACACUGAGGCUCGAAAGCGUGGGGAGCAAACAGGAUUAGAUACCCUGGUAGUCCACGCCGUAAACGAUGAGUGCUAGAUGUAGGGAGCUAUAAGUUCUCUGUAUCGCAGCUAACGCAAAUAA